UACGAAGGGGGCUAGCGUUGUUCGGAAUGACUGGGCGUAAAGGGCGCGUAGGCGGUCGCGUGCGUCAGAUGUGAAAUCCCUGGGCUUAACCUAGGAAUGGCAUUUGAUACGGCGCGACUAGAGGACGAUAGAGGAUGGCGGAAUUACAAGUGUAGAAGUGAAAUUCGUAGAUAUUUGUAGGAACAUCUGUGGCGAAGGCGGCCAUCUGGGUCGUUUCUGACGCUGAGGCGCGAAAGCGUGGGGAGCAAACAGG
rnacentral:rRNA from 1 species